GCACCCCCCGCCCCACUUGGUGCUCUUACCGGAAACACGCAGGCCGACCUGGAGGAAGAGAGAAAUGCGACAUAAGCACGCUGUGUCCAUUUUCGGCACUUUCAUCUCUAAUCUUCAAUAAUUUUUGAGAUUUUUAAAAUUUACUGUAUAUCUGGUCUCACACAGACAAAACAGACACAGCACCUGAACUCUGGAGCUCCUGAGAUUGCUGCCUCGGCUCCAUCGUGGUGCUGACGUGCACUGGGGACGUUUUCAAUACAGUUAAUAAGUGAUGACGCUUGGACAAGGCACAGUUCUCUGAUCUUGGGGUGAAUCAGUUACCAGAACGGUCAAAACCUCCGGCCAUUGUGGAGUGUGCAGUGUGCAAGAAGCAGCAACAACAACGUCAGUCAAUCAACUGUAUAAGAAAUUAAAAGGCCACAGUGCUGUGUAAAGAAGGACAAGAAGAGCAGGAGGGAAGCAGUGGACUCCUGAGGUGGUGCCACCAUCUUCAGUGUGAUAAGGACAAUCAGUGCCUCAGUGUGUGGUGAGAGUGAGGCCACCCACGGGGGGCCCAUGUCCUUGGGCAGGGUGCCAGGGCUUUUCCCAGCUGGAGCCAGGUGCUUAAGUGUGGAUCCAUGAGUUAUUACAGAGGCACAGCAUUUCACUCACGAAGGGAAAGGAAGUGGGUCCAAAUUCUUCUCUAGUCGGAGCAAAGAAAGACGCUCCAAUUUCCCCUUUCAUUUAUUUGAAUGAAACUGGCUUCGAAAGGAAGAGUUAUGUGGAAUGACUACAGUUCACAAUAACCUAUCAUGUUCCUAUGAAGUUCUGGAAGACAGAACUCCAGACAUAACGAAGGCUCCAGACAUAAAGAAAUGACAAGAAGGGGAGGAUGCUAAGUGCACAGGAGCCUCUCCUGAAACGUGCAUGAGAAGCAGACCUGCGUGGCAGAAGGGAUGUUGGAGGACGUGCAGUUCCAUGGAUCAGGUCUCCCAUAACAAAAUCUUUGUAAAUAGGGAUGGAUGGAGGGGUUGAAGGGAGGGCUGGGCA